GGCGAUGUAGCUCAGUCGGUUAGAGCGAGGGCUUCAUAAUCCCUAGGUCCCGUGUUCAAGUCACGGCAUCGCCACUA
rnacentral:tRNA from 1 species